rnacentral:lncRNA from 1 species
UGGUGUUGCUUUAACUAUGAAUUUAAAGAAAAAAACAAAAAAAACAAACAAAUGUUGUUCAUAGGAUUUGAACCCAGGACCUCAAGGACAGCACUAACCUGCUCUAACCAGGUGAACCUCUUUGCUAUAUAUUAACAAAGUUUAUGUGUAUAUUAUAAAUAGAUAUAAUUAACUAAUUAAUUAAUUGAUUAAGUCAACAACGUUGAGGACCCUAUCUACAUGUAGGGCCGUUCCUGAGUUUUUUGAGGCCUGGGUGGAAAACUAAUACGUACGCCGCCCAAAUUAUAAGAGAUUAAGCCUAAUAGCGACCAUUUGCAUAGUCAAACCAUCGAGCUUAAGCCCAUAUAAUCCUGGUAGUCCGUGAAAUCUCGAAGGAUUUCAAACCACAUAUCGUACAUACAGCCAAGAUCGUAAUAAGUUCAGCGGUCACCAUUCACAGUUACAUCCAGUUCGAAAACAUUCAUCGAAAACAUCGGAGUGCUUAAAGUUAUUACAAACCAAGUUCACAGGUAGCGGAAGCUUCAUAGUUGAAAAUAACACACACACUUAGUCUGAUACAGUGCCAU